rnacentral:rRNA from 1 species
CAGGCCUAAUACAUGCAAGUCGAACGAUAGAUAGAAGCUUGCUUCUAUCAAAAGUGGCGCACGGGUGCGUAACGCGUAUGCAACCUACCUUAAUCUGGGGGAUAGCCCGGAGAAAUCCGGAUUAAUACCGCAUAAAAUCACAGGAUGGCAUUAUCCAAUGAUCAAACAUUUAUGGGAUUGAGAUGGGCAUGCGUGUCAUUAGCUAGUUGGCGGGGUAACGGCCCACCAAGGCGACGAUGACUAGGGGAUCUGAGAGGAUGGCCCCCCACACUGGUACUGAGACACGGACCAGACUCCUACGGGAGGCAGCAGUAAGGAAUAUUGGUCAAUGGAGGCAACUCUGAACCAGCCAUGCCGCGUGCAGGAAGACUGCCCUAUGGGUUGUAAACUGCUUUUAUCCGGGAAUAAACCUAUCUACGUGUAGAUAGCUGAAUGUACCGGAAGAAUAAGGAUCGGCUAACUCCGUGCCAGCAGCCGCGGUAAUACGGAGGAUCCAAGCGUUAUCCGGAUUUAUUGGGUUUAAAGGGUGCGUAGGCGGCCUGUUAAGUCAGGGGUGAAAGACGGUAGCUCAACUAUCGCAGUGCCCUUGAUACUGAUGGGCUUGAAUGGACUAGAGGUAGGCGGAAUGAGACAAGUAGCGGUGAAAUGCAUAGAUAUGUCUCAGAACACCGAUUGCGAAGGCAGCUUACUAUGGUCCUAUUGACGCUGAGGCACGAAAGCGUGGGGAUCAAACAGGAUUAGAUACCCUGGUAGUCCACGCCCUAAACGAUGAACACUCGCUGUU